rnacentral:rRNA from 1 species
UUGCCUUUAGUAACGGCGAAGUGAAGCGGCAACAGCUCAAAUUUGAAAUCUGGCUCCUUCGGGGUCCGAGUUGUAAUUUGCAGAGGAUGCUUCGAGUUAUGGUUCCUUCCGAGUUCCCUGGAACGGGACGCCAUAGAGGGUGAGAGCCCCGUCUGGUAGGAAACCAUGCUCAUGUGAAGCUCCCUCGACGAGUCGAGUAGUUUGGGAAUGCUGCUCUAAGGGGAGGUAUACUCCUUCCAAGGCUAAAUACCGGCUAGAGACCGAUAGCGCACAAGUAGAGUGAUCGAAAGAUGAAAAGUACUUUGAAAAGAGAGUCAAACAGCACGUGAAAUUGUUAAAAGGGAAGCGCUCGCUACCAGACGUGGGUUCGGUGGUUCAACCAGGUCCAUGACCUGGGGCACUCCGCCGGCCCAGGCCAGCAUCAGCUUUCCGUCGGGGGCAAAGGCGUCGGGAAUGUGGCUCUCCUUCGGGGGAGUGUUAUAGCCCGUCGCGUCAUACCCUUCGGGGGGCUGAGGUACGCGCUCCGCAAGGAUGCUGGCGUAAUGGUAGCUAGUGACCCGUCUUGAAACACGGACCAAGGAGUCAACCUUAUGUGCGAGUGCCCGGGCGUAAAACCCCAGCGCGGAAUGAAAGUGAACGUAGGUGAGAGCUUCGGCGCAUCACCGACCGAUCCUGAUGUCCUCGGACGGAUUUGAGUGAGAGCAUAUAGGGUUGGACCCGAAAGAAGAUGAACUAUGCGUGUGUAGGGUGAAGCCAGAGGAAACUCUGGUGGAGGCUCGCAGCGGUUCUGACGUGCAAAUCGAUCGUCAAACAUGCGCAUGGGG